rnacentral:tRNA from 1 species
GGGGGCAUAGCUCAGUUGGUAGAGCACCUGCUUUGCAAGCAGGGGGUCAUCGGUUCGAUCCCGUU